UACGUAGGGAGCAAGCGUUGUCCGGAAUCAUUGGGCGUAAAGAGCGCGUAGGCGGUCCGGUAAGUCGGUUGUGAAAACUGGGGGCUCAACCCUCAGACGCCGACCGAUACUGUCGGGCUAGAGUCCGGAAGAGGCGAGUGGAAUUCCUGGUGUAGCGGUGAAAUGCGCAGAUAUCAGGAGGAACACCGGUGGCGAAGGCGGGAUCCUGGGCCAGUACUGACGCUGAGGAGCGAAAGCGUGGGGAGCAAACAGG
rnacentral:rRNA from 1 species